rnacentral:misc_RNA from 1 species
CACGGGAAAGAGGUCUGCACGGCUGCUGCCCCCUCCCCCUCCCACGGGCUGUUCGCCACUGCCGCGUGUUAUCGUGCGUUGAUGUGCACAGUCCUGCUUCUGUCACCACUGUGCCUUGUGCUCGCUGAAGUCUUUCUCUGUGCGUCUCGCUGCGUGCGUGGAGUGCGCACACGGCCCACAUCCUCUCCCUCACUGCCGUGCUCCGCUGCCUCGCGCAUCUUGCGCUUUUCGACAUACACACGCCUGCGUGCUUCCCUGGUAGCCGUGGCAUCACGAGAGAAGAGGGAAGCGUCGUCGAUGACUGGCGCGUCGUCGGUGAUGCCGGCGCCAGAUGACGCAGCGACGCCCACCACUGCCGCCGCGCGCUUCACCGCCGAGGACCCGAACGCCAGCACGACGACGAUUCCAGCCGUCGAGGCAUCCGCCGCCGCGACCCACGCCCACGUGCACCUCAACGCGAAGGUGUUCAUGGUCAACCUCGGCCAGGACGUGCAGACAACGGUACUUGGCCGCUUCCGAAACCUGCAGGGCACCAUACACUCACAGCUGCGCAACCUGCAGAACAACGUUGCCAACCUGCGCCACUCCACCGGCAUCCCGCCCGAGGCGCUGCACAGCCGCUGGGUCUAUCACUACAACCACUCUGCCCUCGGCAUCCACAGCCUCCGUAAGCUGUUCGACGUCAUCGAGCAGCGCUACUCGCACGUGUCUAUCCUGCUGCUCUUGUGCAACGUCGGCCUCGAGGCCGCCGCCUUCGGCAUCUACCUUCACGUGCAGAACGGCCACGUCACGGAGGACUGGCGCGAGUUUGACUGGGGCCUCGGCUACUUCAUCGCCGAGGUGCUGCUCAGCGUCGUCUUCAUGGCCAGCUGGAUCUCGCUGCUGGCGGUGGAGGCUAAGAAGUGGAACUACGUACUCAACGCGCGCUCGCUCAUGAACUACCUCAGCAGCGGCUGGAUGCUGCUGCUCGCGCUCGGCGCGCUCCUCACGCUGGACCGGGCCUGGACGCACGUCUACGCACCCAUGUUCCUGCGCGUGUGGUGGCUGCACGAAAGCCUACUGUCGCUGCUGAACUACCCGCAGAUCAGCGUCUACUUCACCGAGAACCGACUCGAGAUGGUGCGCUCCAUGAUCCAGUGCAUCGCCGUCGUCGGCAUCAGCGUCGGCAUCCUCCAGGCCGUCGAGAGCUUCUGCGGCGACCCUGUCGAGUACUUCGACAUGGUCUACAUGAUGCUGCUGUCCUUCUCGUCCAUCGGCUACGGCGACGUGACGCCGCUCACGGUGCAAGGCCGCCUUCUCAUGAUCAUCUUCAUUGGUGUCGGCUUCAGCUACUUCGUGCCCAUCCUGCAAUACGUGGCCGACCUCGGCGUGUACCACCUCUCCUAUGCGUACUACACCACGUGUUUCAAGCGCACAGACCACGUCGUGAUAUGCGGCCACCUCGGCUACAACGAGCUGCGCAUGCAGCUGAAGAACGUCUUUGCUGAGGACCGGCAUUACCUGAACAUGAGCGUGGUGCUGCUGCUCCGCGAGCAGCCGUCCGCGCAGGUGCUGCUACUGCUCAACUCCCCCAAGUACCGCAGCGCUGUGCACCUCCUCGUCGGCGAUCCGGGGGUCCCGACGGACCUCGAUCGCUGCAACGCGCGCGGUGCCUCUGCCAUGUUCCUCUUGGGUGCGGGUACCAACUCCAGCUAUUACAGCGACUACGACCUGGCCGCGCAGACCAUGACUGUCAACGCGCUCGUCCCCGAUCUUCCGCUGUACAUCCUGCUGCACCGCUCACGCUACACGAAGUCUUUGAUGCCAAGUCGCGCCAUCGUGCUGGAGUUCGAGCGACUGAACCACAACCUGCUGGGGCUGGGCUGCGUGCUGCCGGGCAUGAUACCCCUUGUCGCCAAUCUCAUGCGCAUGUUCGACCCCAUGACGACUGAGGCGCUCUGGGAGCUCCGCGACUUCAAGGACCUCCUCGGGCUCAGCGGCAGCGCGGCGAGCUUGCGCGCGAUGCGGAAGAUGUGGGCGCCCAAACGCCCCAUGCUCACCUACGGCUCCGCGACCAUCGAACUGGGCCUCGGUGCGGAGCCGGACUGGAUGAGCACGUACGAGGCGUCACUCGCACAGCACGUGGACACGGUGGCGGCGCCGCCGCCGGUGCAGCGGGGCCACUACACCGUCGUCCGCCUGGCACGCUUGCUGUACCGCACCGAUAUAACGCUCAUCGGUGUCGUGCGCAGCAGCGGAAGCGGCGACAGUGUCGUCGAGCUGGCGCCACGCGGCUCGCUGGUCGGCGUGAAGAAGCUCAUCGUCAUCUGCGACGUGCGCCGCGCCGCGCAGGACAUCGUGGACGAGAUCGUCAACGACGCCACGCGCGGCAGCACCAGCAGCGCCGCGGCCGGCGCACCCGCCAUCCGCCCGCCACCGCCGGCCGGCGUGCAGGCCACCGCCGUCACGGUCGUGCCCAUCCCCGCCAGAGAAGACGCCGGCGCUGUCUGGAACUCCAGCGCCACGACCACCACUAUCGCGCCAACCUCGCGCGCCAGCCAGACGUCGCUGAAGCCAGCGGCGGCACCGGCGCCAGCACCAGCACCAGCACCAGCACCAGCCACAGCCACAGCAGCAACCGUUAUCGGCGCCAGCGCGGUGGAACUGCCGCGGCGGCCGCACCGUGUGGCAUGCGAGCGUGCUGCGGAGGCGCGGAUGCCGCACAACGACUCGAGCCUCGUGCUCAGCGCCGCCAUCGCCACAGAAGACGAUGACAAGAACGACGACAACGAAGACGCGCUGAUUGGGGCGCUGGCGUCGCCAGUGCUGCUGGACGCGGUGGGUCGCGGCCGCCCGGCUUGCAUGGGCGCCAGGGUAGGCGCACCGGCCACGGUAAGCCCGUCCUCACCGGUGGUCGCCGCCUCGCGCAGCGUGCUGCGCGUGGAGCCGGACGUGCGCCACCUCGCCAACCACUACGUCUUCAUCGAUCUAUCCAGCGCACACGAACGCACCAACUGGUCGCGCGAGGCCGCCGUCGAGUCGCGCACCGCCAAGGCGGCCGACUACUACGACAUCAUGCGCCCGGUGCGCCAGCACGAUCCCGACAGCAACAUCGUGCUGCUCGCGAACGACACCAACUACGACAGCCUCAACAACAUGUGGGAAGAGGAGGACGUCACCGGGUCCCUCAUCGUCGUGCAGGGAUGCGGCCUCUUCACAUCCGAUCUGCGCCGCUGCAACGUUGCCAAGGCGGCCGCCGUCGUCAUCUUCUCCGCCGGCGAUCGCUGCGACGAGCACGGCGACUCGCUGUCCGUACUCGUCAUGCAGCUGGUGCGCCAGCUCAUCAGCGAGGACAAGCACGGCAGCGCCGCCGACAUCCCCAUCGUCGUCGAAGUCGAUCACGCCGAACUGGUGCCGCUUUUCGCGCCCGCCAUGACCGUCGGCAAGGACGUCAAGACGGCGGAGUGGGUAUUGGAGCCAAGCUUCAUGUCUGGCUGCGUCGUGUGCCGCCACAUGCUCGACACAGGCCUGCAGGAAAUGUACUUCACUCCCGAGCUGCACGACGUGCUCGAGCAGCUGCUGUCGUCCAAGUCUGAGUCGCUGCUCGUCACCGUCAUGGCGCCGGACGCGGCGUGGACCGUCUACGAAGACGCCACGUCGUUCGGCGUCGACAACGGCCUGCUGCCGCUCGCUAUCCACCGCUUCCACGAGAUGAUCAGAGACGACACCAGCGUUUCCUUUCGCUACAUCAUCACCAACCCGCCGCCUUCCUUCCCGCUGCACCCCGACGACUUCAUCUACUGCCUCAAGCUGUGUGACCCGUAGGAUGCGGCAGGCCUCCCCACCAAGGCGGCUCGCUCUUGUUUCGGCGCUAUCCCCAUCCCCCCGCACACACACACACACACACACACGCCCGUCCGUCCGUCUCGUUGUUUUCGUUGGCCAAAGGAAUGAAGGCGCCCCGUCGGCCGGCACCGCGCACACCCGGCGGUAUUCCCAGCGUAGCCCUUUUUACCGCUGCCCGAUCCAGGGGGUGAGCGCGGGGGCGGCGGCGGCGGCGACGAGGGCGUCGCAGGCCAUAUUCGCCCAACCACGUAUCCCCACCAACCACAUUUACGACCGCGACCGCUGGGCCCCGCGCGGACUUGGCAAGUGGCCGCCAUCGAUGAAAACGCACCAUGCCUUUUCCCUGGGGGUCCAGAGGCGGGGCCGCGGUGCGCGCGGUCCCCCGUGAUCCAACAGCAACCCCUCGCCUGCCUGCGCGACUUCUUGCGGACUGUGCUCUCCUCCUCCUCCUCUUGCCCCCUCCCCCCCCCACCCUCCGCCCGCAUACGACACGCCAG